CGCGGGGCGCGCGCCAACUUCAAACGCGGGGCUGGGGCGGCGGCGUCACUUCGCGUGCGUGCGUGCGUGCGUCACGUGGUAGGGAGGGCGGGACGGCGCCGCGCUGAGGGGAGGCUGUGCCCCGCCCGGGCCCGGCCCUGAGGGGAGCGGGGCGUUAUCCGCAGCGCCCGAAGUUUUGCGUCCGUUCCGCGUCCGCUGGGGCAGGAAGCCGCCUCAGCUAUAGGAACGGGGAAGGUGUGGCAUGAGGCCGGGGUGGAGUUAGUGCCGAGGAGGGGUUGGGAGGCUGAAGGAUCGCUGGGUUUUGUGAGUUGGGUGAGGAGCUGAUAGGGCUGCCUUGAAUUCGAGGGAAACCUCCGGGUGUUUUUAUAAAUAUCGACGAGUUGGCACUUGAGUGGAACGCGCUCAGAGUUACCUCAGCGCUCAGAGUUACCUCAGCGCUGGUAGAGGCGAGCUGAGGGCGAUUCCUCUGAGUCCCGUUUUUAUUUUCCUACCAUUAAAGCAUGCAAAGUGAAGCUAGGUUAAAAUUUGAAUGGUUUAAGGUGCGUUGGAAAGAAGUUAUUUCUUCCUACUUUGACACACCCUACAGACGAGCUCAGAGAGAAGGCAACUGAAAGAGACCCAAAUGCCGCCCUCCUGCCAGGCUGGGCAGUUCUGGGGCUCUUAUAUUUGAGGCUGGUCGCAAAUUCCUGCUCAGGUAUUUCCCUUGUGAGGUAUCACAGCAGAGCAAAAGCUGCUUGGCAGCCCAGCCUUCACCCCAACCUGCUUGGCAAGUGACAAAACUAUCAGACAGGCACAGCAUACAUUAACAUGUGUAAACUUUGCCCUUAAAUCCCAGCCUGAGCAUCACUCCUGCUGUGGAGCUGUGCCAUAGGAAUGGGAAGAGCUUGCCAGUCUACUGUGGAGGAGAUGAUGUUAAAGCCACACAGAUGAGGUUAUUCCUAGGAGUUCCAGGAGCAGAGUCAUUUCGUCCCGACGUGCAGCACCCUGCCUGCCCUGACAGAAGGUUGCUUUCCUGCUCCAAUCUCUGCAGCCAAGGUACAGCUUAUCCUGGAAGAUGGUAUUCUACUGCAGGGAUGGGGCCAGGCUUUGGCAGAGCAAGGAGAACACCCGCAUAGGCUGCUGGAGCGCUGAGCUGUUCGUACUUCCAGGGCUUAGCUGGGGGAAAAAGAAACAACACCAAACAGAAGUCUGGGCCACUUAUUACCUGCAGGGUGUUUCUGUCCACAGCUGUUACCCAACAGCUGCGUGUGCCAGCCAAGACCCGUAUUCUCACUCCUGCUGCCUGCAGCUGGGAGCAUGAUACAGAGCUAUGGGAGAAAUACUGUGCUUUUGGCCUGCGGCUUGUGCAACCCCCAAGCAGGUGGAAUAAUGCUAAGCUAGCACUGAUGGGGCAGAGCAUCUCCUGCUUGUACCUUUCCUGCAGUUCUGUCUGCAGAUAAAGCCAUAUCCAAAAGUGGUUGCUCUGAAGGCAGCACCCUGACAGGUGUCAGGCUUGCUGAGGUGUUGCUGCGUCUGCUUGGUGCUACUGUGUCCCAGGUACCCAGCACAGACCUGGGAGGCAGAGAGCUGACCAGAACUGCCCUGAGCCACCUCCUGGCCUUGCAGGCUUAUGGUACCAAAGCACACCCCAGCAUGAGAGAUGCCUGGGUGCUCCUGCUGCUGACGUGGUGCUUCCCAGCUAGUUACAGGAAGCAGAUGUCCCAUUUGGGGCACCCUGUGCACCAUGGCAUGCUUUCAUCCCUUUUGCAGGCUCUUACGAUGCACCUCCACUAGCAGCCCCCUACCAAAACAGAACAACCCAAGAGCCUGAGCUCCCUGGGACAUCUGGGUCCCCUGCAAGUGCACAGUGGGCAGGCAGAGCCAGCAGGAUAAGAACAUGAAGUCUGAGGCAGCCUGACAAAGGACUGUUAGUAAGGACAGCGGUCCCGGAGGCUGCGAGCUGCUGGGCUUUGCUAAGAAACCCAUCGAGAUGGUGCUGGCCCCAGGGGUCCUUGCUUCUGCUGGCUGUUGGGGCAUUUUGCUGCUUUAACCUACUCCUCUCUCAGAACUGUGAGGGCUGCUAAGAUGAUUAAGAGCUUGGAGCACCUGCCAUAUAAAAAAAAAGAGCCUGGGAGAAUGGAGGCUUGGAGCGGUUCUUAUCCAUGUCUCUCAACACUUGGUGGUGGGUAAAGAAGAGAGACCAGUUCUCCUUAGUGAUGCCCAGUGACAGAAUGAGAGCCAUACUGAUAGCAAAAUACAGGAGUUCCAUUUAAACUAAAGAAAUGUUUUUUCUGUGAGGCUGGCUGAAUACUGGAACAGGUGGCACAGAAGUGUUCUGUCAUCUCCAUCUUUGGAAACGGUCCUGGGCAGCCUGCUUGAACUAACUCACGUUGAGCAGGGGGGGGGAAUGGAAGGCCAUGUUCAGAGGUCCCUUCCCAACUCAAUUCCACAAUUCCUUGAUGCGUUGUGGCUUGGUAUCGCUGUGAUGAGACAUACAUGGUCCUACCAUUCUGACUUCCAGCCAUUGCCUCCCUUCUCUGGGGCAGGUCAGGGCUUCCCUGUGCUGAGCACAGCUCAGCUGUGACCCUGCUCUGCGCAAUGCAUUGUGGCGCCUUAGCGAGGCUUCCCAUGCCCUGCAGCCCAGGUUUGGCAGCAUCAUGGUAACUCUCACACAGCUCAGGGACAGUGAAAACUCCUUCUGCUGCUAAAAGAGAUAGCUGCUGUACUGCUGGUAAAAGCAGAAGGUUGAUCCUCACCUGAGAAACACCCACCCAGCUUUCAGUCCAGGGAGACACCCCCAGGCCAGAGCUCCCUGCCCCUUGGCACAGGGGCUGAACACCCACGCAGCAACACCGACGCUCAUUAAAGGUUUACUUUUAUUUCUGGUUUAAAAUCAAAAUUAGUCAUUCUCUGUAAUUACAUUAUAUAUAGAU
rnacentral:lncRNA from 1 species